rnacentral:tRNA from 1 species
UCCGAUGUGGUGUAGUGGCUAUCAUACUGCGCUUUCAUGAUCUAGCAUCAGAAAGGUGCCGCAGGGAUCGGGGUUCGAUUCCCCGCAUCGGAG